GUGAUUAGGGUUAGGGUAACUCUUUGCGGCUGUUGAUUGAUCCUGUUGGUGUGUUCGUGUCGGAAGCUUUUGCUCAAUUGAUAAUUUAGGGUUUCGGUUAUCGACAUGUCCGAUCCUUCGAGGGCUCGCGUUACCAUUACUCUUGGGCGUAGCGGUCAGGUUGUGAAGAGGGAUAUAUCUACUUUAGAUUCUUCUUUCUCUUCUCUUCCGUCGACUGGUACUAAGCGGUCUGUGCGAGACAGAAUUGGAAACAAUGCGGAUAGUUCUGCGUGGCAUGGAAAUGGAUAUGGCAGCAAUAAACGACCGCGAGAUAUAAGCAUGCAAAAUGGACUGGAUGGAAAUGAUCUCCGAUUGAAGCUCAUGCGAAAAAGUGCAUCUAGGCAGGCUGACAGUAAUGGCAGUAAGAGGCAUAUGGAUCUCCGUGAAAAACUUUCAAAGGCAACUCAUCCUCUGACUAACAGUUAUAAUUCAAAGCAGCAUGUGCCAGAAUCAAGGGAAACAAGUUUGUUGAGACCAAUUCCCUCAGCUAGAAGUUCUGAUGAUUUAAUGCGUAUGGAAUCCAUGAGAAGUUCAUACUCUCCUUGGACAUUGGAUCAUAUUAGGAGAAGAUCACCGGAUGGUUUUCCAAGUGCUUCCAGGGGGAUUUCCCCCCAAAGGGAUGUCCAAGACAUACAGAGAAGGCCAUUAAGCAGGACAUAUGACAGCGUUAGAUCAGUUCCAUAUGUAGGUAGGGGUGUUCUUGAAACUUCAAGGCCUCCAGUAAGUACACCUCAAUCUUUCAUGUCCCGCUCCACAAUGUCCACAUUGCCUCCAGUAACUGCUAAGCCCGUAGCAUCUCAUCCCAGCCAACUUCCUCCAUCAAGCAGUGUUGCACAAAGGUCUUCAUAUGUGGGUGAUGAACAAGUACAACAAUCAAACCAAAAUGUGGAUAGCCUGUUACAUGCACUGGGACUUCAAAAAUAUGCCAUUCUCUUCAAGGCUGAGGAAGUUGGCAUUCAAUCUCGCAUGAGGGGGAAUGUUUCAAUGAUUAAACAUACCUGUUAAAUAACAGGAUGUGGAUAUGACUGCAUUGAAGCAGAUGGGAGAAAAUGACCUCAAAGAGCUUGGGAUUCCUAUGGGUCCAAGGAAAAAAAUUCUUCUCGCUCUCUUGCCCCGUACUAAACGUCAACAAUGAUUGAUAUGUAUCGCUCAGGAUGCUGAAACUGACACAUUGUUGGAUCACCAGUUUCUUUUUUUAUUUCUUUUAUAAUUGGGGUGAUGGUUGGUAAUGCACAGAUCUGAGAAUUUCACAAAUAUAACAUCCCUUCCCUCGUCCCUUGUGGGGUUCGAGCUGUCGCAUUUUUGCACUCAGGAACAAAUUCGGCGUUUGUUACAAAUAUUGACAUGUAAUAUAUGCGGUCCGUUCUUUCUCAUUUUUUUUUAUUGAAAGAAAUAGUAAAUUGAACCAUUAAUCUGGAGUGAUCUAUCGAUCUGUAACAUUGUCUAAAAUUAACACAGGUUUGCCGCCUAUGCGUUAAGCAAGGUUAUUUGUGUCA